rnacentral:misc_RNA from 1 species
UCAAACUUGGUCAUUUAGAGGAAGUAAAAGUCGUAACAAGGUUUCCGUAGGUGAACCUGCGGAAGGAUCAUUACCAAAUCCAAAAAACUUUAUCAACACCUUUUGUGAACUGAGAGUGGUUUUGUCCCUCUUUAACCCCCCCCUUUAAAAAAGGAGGGUUGAAGGGGGAUGGGGUUCUCUUCUCUUUUAUUAGAGAAGAGGCUCUACACUAUAAAACACCUUUUCAACUCCAAAAAAAACAUCUUCUGUAUGCUUGAAUAAAGCAAAACUAUACGAAUCAUUAGACAACUUUUAACGGUGGAUCUCUUGGCUCGUGCAUCGAUGAAGAACGCAGC